rnacentral:lncRNA from 1 species
GGGGGAGCUGAAUGGUUGGCUGAGUGGAGGUCUCUAUGAUAAGAUAGGGAGAACAGUGUGAUCUUUAUAGUGUUGUAGAGGAGGCUCUGUGGUGAGGACAAGGCCGCUGGAGGACGUCUGAAACCAUAGUUCUCCCUCAGGACCUAUUACUGACUGUAGAUCUACCAGAGCUGAGUCCCUCACUACAGCAGGUGUAGAUCUACCAGAGCUGAGUCCCUCACUACAGCAGGUGUAAAUCUACCAGAGCUGAGUCCCUCACUACAGCAGGUGUAGAUCUACCAAAGCUGAGUCCCUCACUACAGCAGGUGUAAAUCUACCAGAGCUGAGUCUCUCACUACAGCAGGUGGAGAUCUACCAGAGCUGAGUCCCUCACUACAGCAGGUGUAGAUCUACCAGAGCUGAGUCUCUCACUACAGCAGGUGUAGAUCUACCAGAGCUGAGUCCCUCAC